rnacentral:sRNA from 1 species
GUCAUCACCAAGUAUAUCCCCUACCUCUGAUAUGGCUGUACUUGGUGAUGACGAGUCCUGCAUGGGGUCUGGCAUGGCUAUCCUUGGUGGUAAUGCGCGCCCCUUAAAACAUGGUAUGGCUGUACUUGGUGGUGGUAAUCACACAUAAUGGACUGGUAUGGCUGUACUUGGUUCUGGUGAUUACCCAUAAGGGACUAGUAUUGCUGUUACUGGUUGUGGUGAUUACCCAUAAUGGACGGGUAUGGCUGUUCUUGGUUGUGGUGAGUACCCCCAGAGACUGGUAUGACUUUACUUAGUUGUGGUGAGUACCCCUAUGGGACUAGUAUGACUGCACUAAGUUGUGAUGAGUGUCCUCUAGGAACUGAUAUGGUAUGGCUGUACUUGGUGGUGGUAAUCACCCAUGAUGGACUGGUAUGGCUGUACUUGGUUCUGGUGAUUACCCAUAAGGGACUAGUAUUGCUGUUACUGGUUUUGGUGAUUACCCAUAAUGGACGGGUAUGGCUGUUCUUGGUUGUGGU